rfam:Triticum aestivum genome assembly, contig: Triticum_aestivum_CS42_TGACv1_scaffold_320733_4BL
UACGUACUUCCUCCGUUCCAAAUUAUUCGUCGCUGAAAUAGAUGCAUCUAGACCUAAAAUACAUCUAGAUACAUUCAUACGUGCGACAAGUAAUUCGGAACGGAGGGAGUACUUU